UACAGAGGGUGCGAGCGUUGUCCGGAAUCACUGGGCGUAAAGGGCGCGUAGGCGGUCUUGUAAGUCGGGGGUGAAAUGCUGCGGCUCAACCGCAGCGCUGCCCUCGAGACUGCAAGACUGGAGCACGGUAGAGGCGGAUGGAAUUCCCGGUGUAGCGGUGGAAUGCGUAGAGAUCGGGAAGAACAUCGGUGGCGAAGGCGGCCAGCUGGGCCGUUGCUGACACUGAGGCGCGACAGCGUGGGGAGCAAACAGG
rnacentral:rRNA from 1 species